rnacentral:rRNA from 1 species
CAGUCGACGCACAGCGAAAGGUGCUUGCACCUUUCAAGUGAGUGGCGAACGGGUGAGUAACACGUGGACAACCUGCCUCAAGGCUGGGGAUAACAUUUGGAAACAGAUGCUAAUACCGAAUAAAACUUAGUAUCGCAUGAUACCAGGUUAAAAGGCGCUACGGCGUCACCUAGAGAUGGAUCCGCGGUGCAUUAGUUAGUUGGUGGGGUAAAGGCCUACCAAGACAAUGAUGCAUAGCCGAGUUGAGAGACUGAUCGGCCACAUUGGGACUGAGACACGGCCCAAACUCCUACGGGAGGCUGCAGUAGGGAAUCUUCCACAAUGGGCGAAAGCCUGAUGGAGCAACGCCGCGUGUGUGAUGAAGGCUUUCGGGUCGUAAAGCACUGUUGUAUGGGAAGAAAAGUUAAGGUAGGGAAUGACCUUAGCCUGACGGUACCAUACCAGAAAGGGACGGCUAAAUACGUGCCAGCAGCCGCGGUAAUACGUAUGUCCCGAGCGUUAUCCGGAUUUAUUGGGCGUAAAGCGAGCGCAGACGGUUGGUUAAGUCUGAUGUGAAAGCCCGGAGCUCAACUCCGGAAAGGCAUUGGAAACUGGUUAACUUGAGUGCAGUAGAGGUAAGUGGAACUCCAUGUGUAGCGGUGGAAUGCGUAGAUAUAUGGAAGAACACCAGCGGCGAAGGCGGCUUACUGGACUGUAACUGACGUUGAGGCUCGAAAGUGUGGGUAGCAAACAGGAUUAGAUACCCUGGUAGUCCACACCGUAAACGAUGAACACUAGGUGU